AGCUAUAUAGUUUAAUAAAAACUUUAAUUUUGUAAAUUAAGAAUAAAUUUAUUUUUAUAGCUA
rnacentral:tRNA from 1 species